AGCGAACGCUGGCGGCAGGCCUAACACAUGCAAGUCGAGCGCUCGUAGCAAUACGAGAGCGGCAGACGGGAGAGUAACACGUGGGAACGUACCCUUUGGUUCGGAACAACCCAGGGAAACUUGGGCUAAUACCGGAUAAGCCCUUACGGGGAAAGAUUUAUCGCCGAAGGAUCGGCCCGCGUCUGAUUAGCUAGUUGGUGGGGUAACGGCCCACCAAGGCGACGAUCAGUAGCUGGUCUGAGAGGAUGAUCAGCCUCACUGGGACUGAGACACGGCCCAGACUCCUACGGGAGGCAGCAGUGGGGAAUAUUGGACAAUGGGCGCAAGCCUGAUCCAGCCAUGCCGCGUGGGUGAUGAAGGCCCUAGGGUUGUAAG
rnacentral:rRNA from 1 species